UGCUUUGCAUUGGACUGAACAACUGUUUCAUAACAGUUGCCGUUAAAAUCUUCUUAUCACAUGAUCUAUCAUAUCAUUUCUUGUAGUUUUCUGGUUUUUACAUUUAGUACAAUUUUUAAUAACUGAAGGAAUUCCCAGCUGGAGAGUUUAGAAAUACUAAUGAAAUUGUGAACUCAUGUCAGCAACUGAAAGGUUUUCAGUGUAAAGAAGCUGGAAAUCCAGAGUCUUCAGCAGCUCAGUUCUACUGUG